rnacentral:rRNA from 1 species
GGCAGCACAGUAAGAGCUUGCUCUUAUGGGUGGCGAGUGGCGGCCGGGUGAGGAAUACAUCGGAAUCUACCUUUUCGUGGGGGAUAACGUAGGGAAACUUACGCUAAUACCGCAUACGACCUUCGGGUGAAAGCAGGGGACCUUCGGGCCUUGCGCGGAUAUAUGAUCCGAUGUCGGAUUAGCUAGUUGGCGGGGUAAAGGCCC